GCUUAGCAUCUUUAAAGAUAUCUACCCUCCAACAAGAUCUACUUGUCCAAGACCAGUAUCUGCUUGGGUCUCCAGUAAUGUUGUUGUUAGCAUCUCUAAAGACAUCUACCCUUGAACCAGGAUCUGCUUCAUUCUCCAGUAACAGUUGAGCUUAACAUCACCAAAGACAUCUACCCAUCAACAAGUAGAUGUCCAAGGGGAAUACCAGACCAGCUGCACUCUCUCAAGUAAUAGUAAGGCUUAGCAUCAGCAAAGUAGAUCUCCAAGACGAACCUAUCAUGAAGGAGCUACAGUCAUCAUCAUCAUCCUUCGGCUGCGGAGCAGGGGACUACAAGCUUCUUCCAACUACGACGAUCUUGGGCAAGUGUGGAGAUUUGGCUUGGUUGUAGAAUGCCUUCAUCAUCUCCAAGCAGACGUUGUACAUAUGUCAGGAAUGAUAUGUGUUGCCUUCCUGGUCUUCUUUUCAUGUGGGUGUGUAUAGAGUGUAAACCUUGACAAGCUUUACAGUCUUCAGUCAUAGGCUUAACAUCUGCAAAGACGUCUUCCCCUCAACGCAAGUAGACCCAUCCAAGACCAGCAGACGAUGAAGGAGCUACGUGUACACUCUCAAG